GAACUUCGCCAGCUCCUCGGGGUGAGAAGUUCAUGGCUCACCUGGGGGCUCUCCAGGCUCUAUGGGGAGGCAGAGCCUGAAAACCGCACCCCUUCAUUCCUGGAGCCCCGCGAGGACCCCGCAUUCCCACCCAGGGAGACUGUUUAUCCUCUGGUUUUUCUCUCAGAGCGAUUAUUGAAGGCCAAUCGCAGGCAAGCGGAGGCCAAAGCCCUGGGAAAGGCAUGGCCUGGCUUAGAUGGAGAAAGAAGCCUGACCAGGGCCACCUCCCUCUGGUGUAUUCCCUGUCACAGUCCCUCGUUUGUGUUUCAGCAUCUACCUCUCUGGGCCCUUUCUCCUGCGGAGCACCAAGCUGACCCAAAUGCAGACAGUGUACACUGUGGAAGCAAUCUUCGAGAGGUCAAGCCCACUGUCAAAGGUCACAUGGCUUGGAGAGGCAGAUGGGACAUUGGAUGCAGACAGGCAGGCGGUGUUGCUAUAGAGAAUCACGCAGGGAGGAAUGAAGAGAGAGGACACAAUGGAAAAGGAAAAUCAGAACCUGCCAUCAGAAACCCCAUUUUCUCCUCGAUCUCAGCCAAGUGCCAAGAAGAAAACAACCUGAUUAGCUGAUUGAAGUGAUUCCCACUAAGAUGCCAUCACUUAACUUUUCUUGGAGCUCACUCA
rnacentral:lncRNA from 1 species